UACGUAGGGUGCAAGCGUUGUCCGGAAUUAUUGGGCGUAAAGAGCUCGUAGGCGGCUUGUUGCGUCGGUUGUGAAAGCCCGGGGCUUAACCCCGGGUCUGCAGUCGAUACGGGCAGGCUAGAGUGUGGUAGGGGAGAUCGGAAUUCCUGGUGCAGCGGUGAAAUGCGCAGAUAUCAGGAGGAACACCGGUGGCGAAGGCGGAUCUCUGGGCCAUUACUGACGCUGAGGAGCGAAAGCGUGGGGAGCGAACAGG
rnacentral:rRNA from 1 species